GUAUCCAUGGUAUGGGCAUUGUAGUAAAAGUGAUUUUAAGCGAUCCCAUGCUUUACGAAAGGAUUUUGUAUCCUUUUGAUAAAAGUUGAAAAUUUUAGUCCUUAAUUC
rfam:Ricinus communis cultivar Hale ctg_1100012350712, whole genome shotgun sequence.